GACGUUCCUGCCAAGGGGGUCCUGGAGAUGGCUCGAGUGGCCAAGAGCUCAGGGCCAGCUGUCUACCCAAGGCACAGGCCCCAGAAGGUUGCCUGGGACAGUUUCACGUGGACCUGGCCAUUGCCAUCUUAGUGACUGGGCAAGGACUUCCCAGGUGUAUGGAGACCUCCUGUAACAGACGACCAUGGCAUGGGAGCUGCAUAUCCAUUACUUCCUGUUCUCCUGAGUAACCUAAUUUCUAAUGUGUAUUUAGUAAACCUUUAAAUAUUUUAAAUUCUAAAAUGAAAGUAAUAAAUGCAUAGGUUCAACAUUUGAAAGAGUGCAGGAGGGCUGAUAUGGAGGAAAGGAAAAAGAAAGGGCGAUGCUGGGCGGCCCCCAAACAGCCCUCCCACCUCCAGCCCUGCU
rnacentral:lncRNA from 1 species